rnacentral:lncRNA from 10 species
GAGUUUGAGGUUGCAGUGAGCUGUGAUAGCCCCACAGUACUCUAGCCUGGGUGACAGAGUGAAACCCUAUCUCAAAAUAAAAAAAAAAAGAAAUAAGAGUUAAAGAUAUAGAUAGACUCUACUUUCACCAAGGAUAUAGAAAGCUAAAAAAGUAUUACUCCCACAUAACAAGAAAAAGCCAGAUAAACUGCAACAUUAUAACUUUUCUUAAACCCAUCUGAGAAUUCAGUUUGGAGGGUGACUAAGCAGCCUGAAAUCCAAGCAAAGACCGGCCCCUCUGAGAAGAGAGAAGAUCCACACAUUAGCUCCCCUUUGGGCAGAGCAUGGGUGGUAGAAACAUUGGGUACCAUAUUAGUAGAGAAUUCCCCCUUCUGUCCCUCCCCCUGCCCCACAAAAUCAGGUGAGCAAGCACUGAGUUUCAA